AAGGGGUGAAGAAGGAGAAGAAGAAGGAAGCAAGGAAACGAGUUCUAGUGCCAAGAUCCAAGAUCAAGUGUGAACUUAUUCAGGGAUUUGUAGCCGAGGAGAUUCAGGAGCAGCAGCCGUUAGCUUUCCGAGCCACACACUCAUCCGCUAGCUUACGAGGUACUUCCGCAAGCAAAGGGAAGAGCUCUGGAUGACGGCAUCGCACACACCACCGCCUCAGCUUUAGCCUGGGAUUGAUUUAGAUGUUUGACCUGAUGUAGUAUGAUACAGUUUUUCCGCACAGUAUUUUAUUAUGUUUUGGAAUACAUCACGUAUGGUUUUAUUAUAUGAUGCUCUGAUUGCAGUUUUGAUUAUAUUAAAAACAAAAAUUUUUGGGUCGUAUUUUUGGGUCGUUUCAAGUUGGUAUCAGAGCCCUGGUUUGAGGGAUUCGGAUACACU